rnacentral:rRNA from 1 species
AGUGAACGCUGGCGGUAGGCCUAACACAUGCAAGUCGAACGGCAGCACAGUAAGAGCUUGCUCUUACGGGUGGCGAGUGGCGGACGGGUGAGGAAUACAUCGGAAUCUACUUUUUCGUGGGGGAUAACGUAGGGAGACUUACGCUAAUACCGCAUACGACCUACGGGUGAAAGCAGGGGAUCUUCGGACCUUGCGCGAUUGAAUGAGCCGAUGUCGGAUUAGCUAGUUGGCGGGGUAAAGGCCCACCAAGGCGACGAUCCGUAGCUGGUCUGAGAGGAUGAUCAGCCACACUGGAACUGAGACACGGUCCAGACUCCUACGGGAGGCAGCAGUGGGGAAUAUUGGACAAUGGGCGCAAGCCUGAUCCAGCCAUACCGCGUGGGUGAAGAAGGCCUUCGGGUUGUAAAGCCCUUUUGUUGGGAGAGAAAAGCAGCAGGUUAAUACCCCGCUGUUCUGACGGUACCCAAAGAAUAAGCACCGGCUAACUUCGUG